rnacentral:lncRNA from 1 species
GUCUAUGACUGGUCAAUUCCAUCACUUUGGACCCUAGAUGAGGCACAUCAUGGCAGAAGAGUGUGGUGAAGGAAAGCUGUUCAGCUCAUGAAAGCCAAGAAGCUGAGAGACAGGAAGGGGCCAUAACCAGAUAUAGUCCAGACCAUGCCCAGUGACCUGCUUCCUCCAGUCAUGCCCCACCUCCCUACAGUUACCAUCCAGUAGUGCAUACAGUCGAUGAAUCCACUGAUGACAUUGCGUCUCUGAUAAUCUAAUCAUUGCGCUUCUGAACAUUUCUGCACUGCCUAAUAGAUGAGCUUUUCUAGGGACAUUAAAGAUUCCAAUCAUUAACAUUAGGAUAGGGUGAAUUAUAUUCUUCACCCCAACCCAUGUCAGAUUUUCCUGACUUUAUUAUAUUUGUUUCAGUGGAAUAACAAAACCAUUUUGCAUUCCAGAAACAUGUACUAGCUAAUGGUAAUAUAAUUCAGAUGCUUGUUGGGAAAUAAGGGAGGUGACAAUGUUAAUUUUCCAAAACAUUUAUAAUUUUCCUUAUUAUGUUUACUUGUUAGGGCUAUCACCCUAGAAUGUGAGCAAGUCACUUUUUUCUUUUCUUUUUUCUUUUCUUUUCUUUCCUAUUUUUUACAGUGCUAGGAGUGAAUGGAACCCAGAUCUUCACACAUGCUAGGCAAGUGCUCCACCAACGAACUACAUCCUGAGCCCAGCAAGCCACUCAUAUAUGCAAGAGUUCAAGUGGCUUACCUAAAGUUAUAAAUAUAGUGACUGACCACACAUAAAAAUAAUGAUGACAACUAACAUUUAUUGAUCAAUUUCUGCAUACCAAGUACUGUGUACCCUUUACAGUCAUUCUUAUUCCUAUUCUGUCCCUUUUGCCAUUAGACCAGACUAACUGUACUGACAUUUUUUUUUUCUUUGAUGUAUAGACUGCUCCCAGUUGAAAAUCCACAUGCAUACUUCAGCAUCAAUCAGUGAGCUAGGUGUGGUGGUGCAUGCCUGUAAUCCCAGC